UUCGGCUUCGGUUAUGAGGAAUGCUCGAUCCUUUUUCCGAUUGAGCUGUUGUUUCUUCGUCGUCUUCUCGAUCAGGUUUGAGCAUUAUUUUUUAGAAUGGACCGGCGACGUAGUUUGUUUCUUUGGGCAUUUGUUCUAUUGGGUUUUUGUUGUGUUAUGGUGCAGUCUUGGAUAUUUGCUCUAUUAUUGUGGUGCAGUCUUUGACGUCUAGGCAUCGUGGAAGUAUUAGUGCGGAAGAUGGCGUGGGACUAAUGUUAUGGUGUGAUUUCUAUACCUGAAUUUUCUCACUGGCUGCGUUUGAACAGAACAGUGCCGACAUUGGUUGUGGGCUGAUUUUUGAAGUGCCUUCUAUUUUGUAUUGCUUAUAUUUUGAAUCUUUUAUUUCAGGUUGCAUGUGUACCAUGUGUUUCCGUUGUUGGUGGAGUCAUGUCUAUGCUCAUGAGUGAUGUCACUGGUGUUUUGACAAGGUUGUUGCGGUCUGAGAUGGUUUCAUCGACGUUGAGGUUGAUGAGAGUGUUCCCCGUGGUGGUGGACAUGAAGUUUUUGCGAUAAUGAGGUUGUAAAAAAGGUCCACGACCGUGAAAACCUCCGCGACAACGACGGCAGUGGUUAAUAUUCGGUCUCAUCUUUGAUUAUAUCAUUUCUGUAGAUGACAUCGGGAACCUGUUUCUAAACCUGUAUCUCAAUCCCCACGACAAAUUUUGCUUCCUUCAUCAUUGUAUACAACGAGUCUCCCUAGCGAUGAAGGAUUAUAACAUGAGUUACACACUGACACAGUCUUCAUUCCAGUGUGGCAUACUGUUCCAGACUGUACUUCAAGAGCUUCUAUCGGCAUAGCAGUCAGUGAUACACCUAUCGGUCCAUUCGAAUAUCUCGGUAGCCAAAGACCGCAUGGAUAUCAAAGCAGGGACAUGACAGUUUUUAACGACGAAGACGGUGUCGCAUAUCUGAUAUACUCAUCUGAAGGAAACAAUGUAAUGCACAUUGGACCCUUGACUGCAGAUUAUCUCAAUGUGACAUCUGGUAUGAGAAGGGUUUUCGUCAGACAGCGAAGAGAAAAUAAAUGUGAUAUCUAUUAACAUAUAUGAAAAAUUUAGUCUACUAUCAAGAACUUACAUAAUAACUAAUCCUCAUUGUGUUUAUUCUUAACCACUUGACAGGGCCUAAUUGAAUUGCACAAUUAUCUCACAAGCGUUUAUGAAGAAGGUGAUGCAAGAUCAACCUUAAUCACUAUUACUGUUUCAAUUCAUAGUGAUUUCAUCUCAGGCAUGGACAUAACCGAUUUAUUGUUUUUCGAUUGUAGGU